CAACAGCGACGAGGCCCGAGGUGCAGCUGUCUCGCCUCGCCUGUCUUUUGCAGGCACCGGCAUGCACAGAAGAUGGCUCUCCGGGAGGAAGAUUCCUUUCCAUUUUGUUCGCUCUCUGCCUCCGCAAGGCUCCCAGCCACCUCUCGGGAGUGCAGGGCCAGAUCCUGUGCCAGCGGCUUGCUUGAAUGGCUUCUUGACGGUUACUGCUCCAGUUUUGCUGAGUCAGAAGAAUCCCACAGCCGCUCACCGGAAACACAGCUGUUGGGCAAAAAUAACCACAGAGCUGAGCAUCAUGCACCUUCCAGAAAAGAUGGCAGAAAACCUCAAAACAAAAGAGAAAUACAAAACAAUAGGAGACACUGUCAAGAAAAAAAAAAAAAAAAAAAACCCACCGCAGCUCACUAACCGAUCCAAGCUGGUGGCGCUCUCCUGAUCUCUCUCCACUCCCAGGCCCAGCAACGGCUCUGAAAUAAAGCUAAGUUUGGC
rnacentral:lncRNA from 1 species